rnacentral:sRNA from 1 species
GCACCUGCAAAAUCAGGCGCCGGGAUUGACCUCCUGAAAGCACUUCACUGACGACAUAAGGCGCGUAUGCGUUUUUUUU